rnacentral:rRNA from 1 species
GGGCCCGCACAAGCGGAGGAACAUGUGGUUUAAUUCGAUGAUACGCGAGGAACCUUACCCGGGCUUAAAUGAGAGAGGACAGCUGCCGAAAGGUGGUUUUCCGCAAGGACUUCUUUCAAGGUGCUGCAUGGUUGUCGUCAGCUCGUGCCGUGAGGUGUCGGUUUAAGUACCAUAACGAGCGCAACCCUCAUUGUUAGUUGCCAGCGGGUAAUGCCGGGGACUCUAACGAAACUGCCAGAGUAAUCUGGAGGAAGGUGGGGAUGAGGUCAAAUCAGCACGGCCCUUACGUCCGGGGCUACACACGUGUUACAAUGGCCGGUACAGAGGGCAGCUACUUCGCGAGAAGAUGCUAAUCUCUAAAAACCGGUCUCAGUUCGGAUCGAAGUCUGCAACUCGACUUCGUGAAGUUGGAUUCGCUAGUAAUCGCGCAUCAGCUACGGCGCGGUGAAUACGUUCCCGGGCCUU